AACGAACGCUGGCGGCAUGCCUAAUACAUGCAAGUCGAACGAUCACUUCGGUGGUAGUGGCGCACGGGUGCGUAACGCGUGGGAAUCUGCCCUUGGGUUCGGAAUAACAUCUGGAAACGGAUGCUAAUACCGGAUGAUGACGUAAGUCCAAAGAUUUAUCGCCCAGGGAUGAGCCCGCGUAGGAUUAGCUAGUUGGUGGGGUAAAGGCCUACCAAGGCGACGAUCCUUAGCUGGUCUGAGAGGAUGAUCAGCCACACUGGGACUGAGACACGGCCCAGACUCCUACGGGAGGCAGCAGUAGGGAAUAUUGGACAAUGGGGGCAACCCUGAUCCAGCAAUGCCGCGUGAGUGAUGAAGGCCUUAGGGUUGUAAAGCUCUUUUACCCGGGAUGAUAAUGACAGUACCGGGAGAAUAAGCCCCGGCUAACUCCGUGCCAGCCGCCGCCGUAA
rnacentral:rRNA from 1 species